AUGGGGGGGGGGGGAGAGGAUUUUCGUGCGUGGGCUCAUGAAGGCAGUGGCAUCUAUUCUGUUAAAUCAGCUUACCAUGCUCUAGUGAAUCAGAAAGAGCGUGUCGCUCUAGAUGAAGGGGCGGUAACAAAUACCUCACAGACCGAAGAACAGAUGUGGAAGUUGUUGUGGAAGCUCAAGGUAUUGCCGAAGGUUCGUGUCUUUUGGUGGAGAGUGGUGAGGGGCAUUCUUCCGGAUGAAAGCACACUAAAACAUCGGCAUAUACGACCCAUAAGCAGAUGCAACGUCUGCCUUGCGAUGGAUGAGGAUUUGAUGCACGCUUUAGUGCAUUGCUCCCAUGCCAAGUUGUUCUGGGAACAAGCACAUGCAUUAUUUGGUGUGAGAAGACCAAGGCUGCACCCAGAUACAUGGUCUAGAGAUAUGAUUUGUGACAGUCAGUUCACAGAGGUGGAGAGGGCGCAAAUGAUCUCUUUAAUGCGAGCAAUUUGGCAUUCCAAAAACAGAAUCACACAUGAUGGAGAGAAGCUUGAUCCUCUUGCUACAGUGAGACACAUCAGAGAAGACUUGGUGGUCCUUGAUAUUCCUUGUUCACAUGCUUCGAUCCUUCCUGGACAUGGGUGGAGGCCGCCUGAAGGAGAGGUUGUGAAAAUUAAUACUGAUGCGGCUAUUAACAUGACUCGAACAAGGCGGGAGCAGGAGGUGUGGCACGUUCAGCCUCGGCUUUGUUGGGAGCCUGGAGUAAACCCCACGAUGGGGUGA
rnacentral:rRNA from 1 species